UCCCUCUCCCUCUGUUUCCACGGUCUCCCUCUCAUGCCGAGCCGAAGCUGGACUGUACUGCUGCCAUCUCGGCUCACUGCAACCUCCCUGCCUGAUUCUCCUGCCUCACCCUGCCGAGUGCCUGCGAUUGCAGGCGCGCGCCGCCACGCCUGACUGGUUUUCGUAUUUUUUUGGUGGAGACGGGUUUCGCUGUGUUGGCCGGGCUGGUCUCCAGCUCCUAACCGCGAGUGAUCCACCAGCCUCGGCCUCCCGAGGUGCCGAGAUUGCAGACAGAGUCUGGUUCACUCAGUGCUCAAUGGCGCGCAGGCUGGAGUGCAGUGGCGUGAUCUCGGCUGGCUACAACCUCCACCUCCCAGCCGCCUGCCUUGGCCUCCCAAAGUGCCGAGAUUGCAGCCUCUGCCCGGCCGCUACCCCGUCUGGGAAGUGAGGAGCGUCUCCGCCUGGCCGCCCAUCGUCUGGGAUGUGAGGAGCCCCUUUGCCUGGCUGCCCAGUCUGGAAAGUGAGGAGCGUCUCUGCCCGGCCGCCAUCCCAUCUAGGAAGUGAGGAGCGCCUCUUCCCGGCCGCCAUCCCACCUAGGAAGUGAGGAGCGUCUCUGCCCGGCCGCCCAUCGUCUGAGAUGUGGGGAGCACCUCUGCCCCGCCGCCCCAUCUGGGAUGUGAGGAGCGCCUCGGCCCGGCCGCGACCCUGUCUGGGAGGUGAGGAGCGUCUCUGCCCGGCCGCCCUGUCUGAGAAGUGAGGAGCCCCUCCGCCCGGCUGCCACCCCGUCUGGGAAGUGAGGAGCGUCUCCGCCCGGCAGCCGCCCCGUCCGGGAGGGAGGUGGGGGAGUCAGCCCCCCGCCCGGCCAGCCGCCCCGUCCGGGAGGUGAGGGGCGCCUCUGCCCGGCCGCCCCUACUGGGAAGUGAGGAGCCCCUCUGCCCGGCAGCCACCCCGUCUGGGAGGUGUGCCCAGCGGCUCAUUGAGAACGGGCCAUGAUGACAAUGGCGGUUUUGUGGAAUAGAAAGGGGGGA
rnacentral:lncRNA from 1 species